rnacentral:rRNA from 1 species
GUACACGCUGUGACUAGCAUAUCAAUAAGCGGAGGAAAAGAAACUAACAAGGAUUCCCCUAGUAACGGCGAGUGAAGCGGGAAGAGCUCAAAUUUGAAAUCUUAAAGGGUUUCCCCUUACGAAUUGUAGUUUAAAGAAGUGUUUUCUGUUGAGGUUUUGGUAAAAGUUCUUUGGAAUAGGACAUCAUAGAGGGUGAGAAUCCCGUAUUUGACCUUUACUUUCAACUUUGUGAUACACUUUCAAAGAGUCGGAUUGUUUGGGAAUGCAGUCCAAAAUGGGUGGUAAAUUUCAUCUAAAGCUAAAUAUUGGCGAGAGACCGAUAGCGAACAAGUACCGUGGGGGAAAGAUGAAAAGAACUUUGAAAAGAGAGUUAAACAGUACGUGAAAUUGUCAAAAGGGAAGCGUUUGACACCAGUGUUGUUUUUCUGAAAAUCAAUUAAAGAACUGUUUAUGCUAAGUUGUUUAGACUUUAUCAGCUAACUGUUUAGUUUUGAGCUUUUCUUUAAUGCACUUUUCAGUUAACAAGUCAACAUCAAUUUCUUUUGCUGUAAAAAAGCUUGAGGAAGGUGGCUUGAGAUUCGUCUUAAGUGUUUAUAGCCUCUUGCCUAUGCAGUCGGAGAGAUUGAGGUCUGCAGCGUAGAUCCUUCGGGGCUAAAUGCAUUUGUGCUAAGUUAUAGCAUUUUAUAGACAACUUGUUGACUAUGAUUUGUCUUGUAGCUUACUCGCUUAUGUUAUUUUACCUACGCUUAGGAUGUUGAAGUCAUCGUAUCGCGC